rnacentral:rRNA from 1 species
UACAGAGGUCUCAAGCGUUGUUCGGAUUCAUUGGGCGUAAAGGGUGCGUAGGCGGCUUUCUAAGUCGGAUGUGAAAACUCUGGGCUCAACCCAGAGCCUGCAUCCGAAACUGGAGAGCUAGGGUUCUGGAGGGGAAAGCGGAAUUCCUGGUGUAGCGGUGAAAUGCGUAGAUAUCAGGAGGAACACCGGUGGCGAAGGCGGCUUUCUGGACAGAUACCGACGCUGAGGCACGAAAGCUAGGGGAGCAAACAGG